rnacentral:lncRNA from 1 species
CCGCCUGCCGUUCUCUCGCAGUCUCCUCAUCCUUCAUUUUGAAGGCUUCUUCCGCUCGGGCAUACCCUUCGGCCAGAGCCAACAGAUCAGCAAAAUCUCUGGGGUACUUUUUCUCCAGAGAGAACAAAAGGUCAUUCUUCUGAAGGCCGCCCUUCAGAGCGGCCAUUGCUACCGACUGGUCCAAGUUCCGGACCUCCAGCN